GGAAACGUAUGCUAAUACCGAAUAUGCUCUACGGAGUAAAGGAGCCCUCUUCUUGAAAGGUUUCGCUAUAGGAUGAGCCCGCGUGAGAUUAGCUAGUUGGUAAGGUAAUGGCUUACCAAGGCAACGAUCUCUAGCUGGUUUGAGAGGAUGAUCAGCCACACUGGGACUGAGACACGGCCCAGACUCCUACGGGAGGCAGCAGUGGGGAAUAUUGCACAAUGAGCGAAAGCUUGAUGCAGCCAUACCGCGUGUGUGAAGAAGGCCCGAGGGUUGUAAAGCACUUUCAAUUGUGAGGAAGAUAGUGUCGCUAAUAUCGGCAUUGUUUGACGUUAACUUUAGAAGAAGCACCGGCUAACUCUGUGCCAGCAGCCGCGGUAAUACAGAGGGUGCAAGCGUUAUUCGGAAUUACUGGGCGUAAAGCGCGCGUAGGCGGGCUAUUAAGUCAGUUGUGAAAGCCCUGGGCUCAACCUGGGAACUGCAUCUGAUACUGGUAGUCUAGAGUUUAAGAGAGGGAAGUGGAAUUCCAGGUGUAGCAGUGAAAUGCGUAGAUAUCUGGAAGAACAUCAGUGGCGAAGGCGACUUCCUGGCUUAAAACUGACGCUGAAGUGCGAAAGCGUGGGUAGCGAACGGGAUUAGAUAC
rnacentral:rRNA from 1 species